AUUGAACGCUGGCGGCAGGCCUAACACAUGCAAGUCGAACGAGUGGCGGACGGGUGAGUAAUGUCUGGGAAACUGCCCGAUGGAGGGGGAUAACUACUGGAAACGGUAGCUAAUACCGCAUACCAUCGGAUGUGCCCAGAUGGGAUUAGCUAGUAGGUGGGGUAACGGGGCACCUAGGCGACGAUGCCUAGCUGGUCUGAGAGGAUGACCGGCCACACUGGAACUGAGACACGGUCAAGACGCCUACGGGAGGCAGCAGUGGGGAAUAGUGCGCAAUGGGCGCAAGCCUGAUGCAGCCAUGCCGCGUGGAGGAAGAAGGCCUGCGGGGUGUAAAGUACUUGCAGCGAGGAGGCGUUACGCGCAGAAGAAGCACCGGCUAACUCCGUGCCAGCAGCCGCGGUAAUUC
rnacentral:rRNA from 1 species